GCAGUCGAGCGAGCGGACUAACAGAUUUACUUCGGUAAUGACGUUAGGAAAGCGAGCGGCGGAUGGGUGAGUAACACGUGGGGAACCUGCCCCAUAGUCUGGGAUACCACUUGGAAACAGGUGCUAAUACCGGAUAAGAAAGCAGAUCGCAUGAUCAGCUUUUAAAAGGCGGCGUAAGCUGUCGCUAUGGGAUGGCCCCGCGGUGCAUUAGCUAGUUGGUAAGGUAAAGGCUUACCAAGGCGAUGAUGCAUAGCCGAGUUGAGAGACUGAUCGGCCACAUUGGGACUGAGACACGGCCCAAACUCCUACGGGAGGCAGCAGUAGGGAAUCUUCCACAAUGGACGCAAGUCUGAUGGAGCAACGCCGCGUGAGUGAAGAAGGUUUUCGGAUCGUAAAGCUCUGUUGUUGGUGAAGAAGGAUAGAGGUAGUAACUGGCCUUUAUUUGACGGUAAUCAACCAGAAAGUCACGGCUAACUACGUGCCAGCAGCCGCGGUAAUACGUAGGUGGCAAGCGUUGUCCGGAUUUAUUGGGCGUAAAGCGAGCGCAGGCGGAAGAAUAAGUCUGAUGUGAAAGCCCUCGGCUUAACCGAGGAACUGCAUCGGAAACUGUUUUUCUUGAGUGCAGAAGAGGAGAGUGGAACUCCAUGUGUAGCGGUGGAAUGCGUAGAUAUAUGGAAGAACACCAGUGGCG
rnacentral:rRNA from 1 species